GACGAACGCUGGCGGCGUGCUUAACACAUGCAAGUCGAACGGUGAAAGCGGAGCUUGCUCCGCUGGAUCAGUGGCGAACGGGUGCGUAACACGUGGGCAACCUGCCCCUGACUUCGGGAUAACUCCUCGAACGAUGUGCUAAUACCGGAUACGAAUCCUGCAGGCAUCUGCGGGAUUGGAAAGUUUUUCGGUCAGGGCUGGGCCCGCGGCCUACCAGCUUGUUGGCGAGGUAGUGGCGCACCAAGGCGGCGACGCGUAGCCGGCCUGAGAGGGGGACCGGCCACUCUGGUACUGCGACGCGGGCCUGCCUCCUUCUGGAGGGGUCAUGGGGGUAUAGUGCGCAAUGGGCGAAGGCCUGAGGCAGCAACGCCGCGUGAGGGAUGACGGCGUUCGGGUUGUAAGCCUCGUUCAGCAGGGAGGAAACGAAAGUGACGGGACCUGCAGAAGAAGCACCGGCUGUCUACUUGCCAGCCGCCGCCGUAA
rnacentral:rRNA from 1 species